rnacentral:rRNA from 1 species
GACGAACGCUGGCGGCGCGCUUAACACAUGCAAGUCGAACGGAAAGGCCGCCUUCGUGGGGUACUCGAGUCGCUAACGGGCUUGUCACACGCGAGUAGCCUGCCCUUGACUUUGGGAUAACUUCGCGAAACGGUGGCGAAUACCGCAUAUGAGCUCCUGCUGCCUGGUGGGGGUCGGCAACUUCCGCCGGCCGGGGAUGGACUCGCGGCUUAUCAGCUGGUUGGUUGGUUCGUCGCUUACCAAGGCGUUGCCGGGUAGCCGGACUGAGAGUGUGACAGGCCAUAUUCGGGCUGUGAGGCGGCCCAGACCCCUACGGGAGGCAGCAGUGGGCAAGAUUGCACAAUGGGUGGAAGCCUAAUGCAGUAACGCCGUGUGCGGGAUGACGGCCUUCGGGUCGUCAACCGCUUUCGCCCAUGACGAAGCUUUGUGUGACGGUAGUGGGUAAAGAAGCACCGGCUAACUACGUG